rnacentral:tRNA from 1 species
GGGUUGCUAACUCAACGGUAGAGUACUCGGCUUUUAAAAAAAAAAAAUUCUUAUGGCAUAAAUCCUGAUGCCGCUUUUUUGAAC